CCUACGGGGCGCAGCAGUGGGGAAUAUUGGACAAUGGGCGAAAGCCUGAUCCAGCCAUGCCGCGUGUGUGAAGAAGGCCUUCGGGUUGUAAAGCACUUUCAGUGGGGAAGAAAGCCUUGGGGCUAAUACCCUCGAGGAAGGACAUCACCCACAGAAGAAGCACCGGCUAACUCCGUGCCAGCAGCCGCGGUAAUACGGAGGGUGCGAGCGUUAAUCGGAAUUACUGGGCGUAAAGCGCGCGUAGGCGGUCUGAUAAGCCGGUUGUGAAAGCCCCGGGCUCAACCUGGGAACGGCAUCCGGAACUGUCAGGCUAGAGUGCAGGAGAGGAAGGUAGAAUUCCCGGUGUAGCGGUGAAAUGCGUAGAGAUCUGGAGGAAUACCAGUGGCGAAGGCGGCCUUCUGGACUGACACUGACGCUGAGGUGCGAAAGCGUGGGUAGCAAACAGGAUUAGAUACCCCUGUAGUC
rnacentral:rRNA from 1 species